rnacentral:rRNA from 1 species
CCUACGGGAGGCUGCAGUGGGGAAUAUUGGACAAUGGGCGAAAGCCUGAUCCAGCCAUGCCGCGUGUGUGAAGAAGGCCUUCGGGUUGUAAAGCACUUUCAGUGGGGAAGAAAGCCUUGGGGCUAAUACCCUCGAGGAAGGACAUCACCCACAGAAGAAGCACCGGCUAACUCCGUGCCAGCAGCCGCGGUAAUACGGAGGGUGCGAGCGUUAAUCGGAAUUACUGGGCGUAAAGCGCGCGUAGGCGGUCUGAUAAGCCGGUUGUGAAAGCCCCGGGCUCAACCUGGGAACGGCAUCCGGAACUGUCAGGCUAGAGUGCAGGGGAGGAAGGUAGAAUUCCCGGUGUAGCGGUGAAAUGCGUAGAGAUCGGGAGGAAUACCAGUGGCGAAGGCGGCCUUCUGGACUGACACUGACGCUGAGGUGCGAAAGCGUGGGUAGCAAACAGGAUUAGAUACCCGGGUAGUC